rnacentral:lncRNA from 10 species
CCCAUCUGUCCAGUGUCAGGUAUCUUGUGUUUGCUCAUUCCUCUUCACCAGUAGGGACUUCUUCCUUCGCCACUGGGGAGCAAAGGAGGUGAUUAAAACAGAAGGAAAUAAAAAAUGAAGGAGCAAUGAAAUUCCAUGUUCAUCAAAAAACCUGCAUAUGAAUGCCAAUAUAGCAGCUGUACUUGUGAUAACCUAAAACUGGAAACAGCCAAGAUUUCCUUCAAAAGAGGAAUGGUUAAACAAUGAGAGGCUAAAACAUGACCACGGGGGAGAACACCUCCAGCCAUACACUGAAAACCAAGAGUGUCUUUGUUCACAUGAUAAGUCACCCACGUCUGUCCCAGGAAAUUCCUACCCAGGAAGAUAAGGCUACAAAGCAAGAAAUAACUUUAUUGCUUUCUGCAGAAAUUUUGUACAAAUUAAUUUUAUUAGAUAAAUUGCUCUUCUCUCAAAGCAAUAGAUUAUUAACUGGGGCAAACAACUCACUUAUCAAUAAAUUCAUUUACUUAUCCAGACCCAUUUUCAGGUUCUCAUUUGGCUAUGUUCACCAGUUUGAAAUAUGAUGCCAACAACUUUACCUAAUCAUAGUCAGAUCCCCAUCUUAAAUAAUGCAUUAUGUCACUUGAGCCACGAUUGCAAAAUCAUAUAAACUUUCUCCCUGCUCUCCCCUUCUGAGACUACACUUCUGUCAAGAGAGUGAUCUUCCUUAUUACCAUAGAUCUGAUAAACUGAGUUUAACUUGAUCAACAGAUUAAGGAUGAGCUUAACUUGAUCAACCUCAUAUAUAUGGGAAUUGCAAAUUGUAAUGAAAUUAGGGUAGAAAUCUGUUUUCUACCUGGACAAUCAGAAGGUUAGAUAUGUCAAAAUAGUAAAUUAUUAUAAGCAAAAGUAUUUUUAGUAUGUUGUAUUUUAUGAAAGUUGAAUUUCUAUAUAUUAUAAUUU